rnacentral:rRNA from 1 species
UAGAGUUUGAUCCUGGCUCAGGAUGAACCCUUGCUACAGGCUUAACACAUGCAAGUCGAGGGGAAACGGCAUUGAGUGCUUGCACUCUUUGGACGUCGACCGGCGCACGGGUGAGUAACGCGUAUCCAACCUUCCCAUUACUGUGGGAUAACCUGCCGAAAGGCCGACUAAUACCGCAUAGUCUUCGAUGACGGCAUCAGAUUUGAAGUAAAGAUUUAUCGGUAAUGGAUGGGGAUGCGUCUGAUUAGCUUGUUGGCGGGGUAACGGCCCACCAAGGCGACGAUCAGUAGGGGUUCUGAGAGGAAGGUCCCCCACAUUGGAACUGAGACACGGUCCAAACUCCUACGGGAGGCAGCAGUGAGGAAUAUUGGUCAAUGGACGGAAGUCUGAACCAGCCAAGUAGCGUGCAGGAUGACGGCCCUAUGGGUUGUAAACUGCUUUUGUAUGGGGAUAAAGUCAAUCACGUGUGAUUGUUUGCAGGUACCAUACGAAUAAGGACCGGCUAAUUCCGUGCCAGCAGCCGCGGUAAUACGGAAGGUCCAGGCGUUAUCCGGAUUUAUUGGGUUUAAAGGGAGCGUAGGCUGGAUAUUAAGUGUGUUGUGAAAUGUAGACGCUCAACGUCUGACUUGCAGCGCAUACUGGUUUCCUUGAGUACGCACAACGUUGGCGGAAUUCGUCGUGUAGCGGUGAAAUGCUUAGAUAUGACGAAGAACUCCGAUUGCGAAGGCAGCUGACGGGAGCGCAACUGACGCUUAAGCUCGAAGGUGCGGGUAUCAAACAGGAUUAGAUACCCUGGUAGUCCGCACAG